rnacentral:rRNA from 1 species
UGAACGCUGGCGGCGUGCCUAAUACAUGCAAGUAGACCGCUGAAGGAGGAGCUUGCUCUUCUGGAUGAGUUGCGAACGGGUGAGUAACGCGUAGGUAACCUGCCUGGUAGCGGGGGAUAACUAUUGGAAACGAUAGCUAAUACCGCAUGACAACAGUUAUUGCAUGAUAACUGUUUAAAAGGGGCAACUGCUCCACUACCAGAUGGACCUGCGUUGUAUUAGCUAGUUGGUGAGGUAACGGCUCACCAAGGCGACGAUACAUAGCCGACCUGAGAGGGUGAUCGGCCACACUGGGACUGAGACACGGCCCAGACUCCUACGGGAGGCAGCAGUAGGGAAUCUUCGGCAAUGGACGGAAGUCUGACCGAGCAACGCCGCGUGAGUGAAGAAGGUUUUCGGAUCGUAAAGCUCUGUUGUAAGAGAAGAACGAGUGUGAGAGUGGAAAGUUCACACUGUGACGGUAUCUUACCAGAAAGGGACGGCUAACUACGUG